GAAAUGUAUAAAUGAGCUGCAUCAUCUACGCCGAAUGCACUUUACAGAAACCAGAUACGCCGGGAAGAUGACCACUAUGAUGAGUAUUGUCCUGAGUCUGCUGGUAGUCACCGCCUUGGUCCCUGAUUUGACCUCUUCCUUGCACCUGAAUGGUGGAUGUUAUUCCAUGCAUGACUGUCACCACCACAUGAGCUGUUUUUGGUGGUGCAUGAGAUCUGGAUUCCUGGCAGCUCGCUGUGACCAAUCUGGCCUGUGUCCGUUUUAUCCAAAAAACUAUAAAUGUCGCUGUGUUAGAUAGUGGUAUUGAAUCAUACUCCUAAAACUGAUUCAGCAAUCACAAUCAGUCCUGAUUGUUUUACUUGCAUUAAAUUUUAAAGUCAUA